rnacentral:lncRNA from 1 species
AACGUGACACUCUGUGACCCCCCUCGUCACCACUACGUUCAUCUAGCAAAGUGCCAAUUGGGGAAGAGAGAUACUCCAUUGCCAAUCUGCCCCUGCAGCGCCGCUUGGGGUCCAGCCUGGGGCCGUGGGACAUUGUUGGGACUCUAGGAGUCUCCCCGGGUGUCUGUGCGUGCCGAGGAUUGGGGGAUCCUGUUGAAUCUCUUGCCGGACUUCGGCUACCUCCGGCGAUCCGCUACUUCCCGUGGACAGCACCGCCCGCACUUUGGAUCUCGGUGAGAGUUCUUUCCCUGAGUUCAAUUCCUCCUCCGCUGUGAGUCGAAGCUAUCUGCGUCGCGAUUCGUACACCAGGGGCUGGGGCCAUGUCUCGCUGGCGCGCGCCACCUCGGGAGCUUGGCUCUGUCACGGUUGUGGUGUCGCAGGGAAGAAUACAUGCUCGCGACCGUUGAUUUCCGAUGGGUGGUCUGUAUUGGAACCUAGAUAACACUUGGUUGUAUCAAAUCAUAUCCGUCGAUUUCAGAUCGGGCGUAUAAGAUUAGAACGUGGAGGCGUAAAACCUUGGUCGUAGAUCCAUGUCGUAGAUCCAUGCGCCAACGGUCUAGAUUGGCUUCAUUACCUGCCGCUUCUCUGAUCGGAUCUGGGCCGUCCAAAUGAGAUCUGGCGACUGUGGUUGCGUACCGAUUCGUCCCGGGACGGUUCUAAUUGGGACUGUCGACUUAAGAUCAUGCGGCCAGAAAAGCCCCAUACCCCUUUGACCGUGCCAAAAUGCAAAAGAGCCCCUGUCCUUUCUCCAUAUCAACCUGUCGUCCUUAUACGUGUAAAAGAAAUAUAAAGCAGACCCUGGAAUUUAUACAGAACACCCUGUAGUUCAAAUAAAUAAUGUCUCCAGUCCAUACAACGAGUAAAGGGUGUAAAUUAAUAUAGAAAAAGGAUUUCUAUUAUAAAAAUAAUUCCAGAAACUUGUUUAAUUCAUAUUUAAUUCAUCCUAGCUCCUUUUUGAUCCAUUCCAGUUGCAUUAGAUCCAUAAUAAUAUUGUUUAUCCCUUGGUAACUUUAUUUUGUUAUGAAACUUAAAUUUAAAAUUAUGUACUUAAUUUCUUUUGUACCCACUCCUAAAUCUUUAGAAAAUCAUAACUCUUUAACCGUAACUCCGAAUUUAGUGGUUCUCGAACCUAGGAUCUCAUUACGAUGCGUAGAAUAUUAUUAUGCUGUUUGUGCUUAUGUUUGGUGUAAUUUUAUUUUUUCCUAUACCAUGUUUUUUGUAUUGCUACGAAUAGCAGUGAGGUCACGAGAAUCUAAAGAUCAUCCUGGUACCUGCAAUCUCGAGUCUCAUACAAGUUGUGCCCUUGAUCACUCAUUUUUACCUAAUAAUGUUCGCUGUUAAUCACUGUGAUACACUCAGGUUAAUUUGAUAGGACCAAAUAGGUUUCCCUAGCAUUGUUUAUCCCUCACCUUGCAAACAGAUGAACUAUUGGGUAGAUUUGCUAUUGCUCUAUCUGGUUUUGAAAAACUAAUGUUUUAUUAUGAUCAUGUUCCAAUUAUGUUGUUUAAUUAUUGUUCAUGAUAAGAUCAUAUUGUUAAUUAGAACAUGGAGAACCACCCGGAAAAACAGUGCUACCACAAGGGUGGUAUGGGACGCCCUUGGCUGAUUAAUUAGGAAAGCUAGUGGAGGACUACCUUACCUGAAAGGGGCAAGAGCAGUAGGGGAGUAGUCGGUAUAGGGAGGUUCUCGGGUUGAUUUUGCUACGAUGGCUUUUUAGACGAGGGAUUCCUAUACUGCGCUCCAUAGAAACUGUAGCGGGCUUUCUGAAGCUAGUCGAACUUUGUAAAGGCCUUGUAGUGUUACCCUGCCUCGCUUCCUUAGUAGAGAUGUAUGGGGUCCGAUCAACUCCGUGGCAAAUGGGUAACACCAUUUUUGGGUAAAGAUGUACAACAUCUGUAGAGUGUAAAACUGAUAUAUCAGCCAUGCUCACGGUCAUGAGCGGCUCGAACACUCACAUGAUUAACUUAUGGAAUUAAACUUAAUUUGUCAAUUGCAUUGCAUUGUGGGUGUUAUUACUAAUCUUGAUCUCUUAUUUAAUUGGGUUGGUAUCUACUUAUACCUAAUAACUGUUAAUAAAAUUUUGACCAACUUUAAAAGCAAUUCUCAGCUUUUACCAUCCUCCUUAGUAAGCCUUACACUUCAUAUGGGCUCCCACCUUCGGUGAGUUCAUGCACAUUAUUCCGCACAACUUGUUGAGGGAUGAACGUAUGUGAGCUCAUCCUUGCUGUACUCACAUUCCCCACAGGUCAAGAACAUGUACCGUAGGAUGAGAAACAUGAAGGAUGGUGCGAUGUGUUCGUGAGAAGUCUAGGCUAUCGUCUCCCAGUCAACUUUGGGUUGC